rnacentral:rRNA from 1 species
AAUGAACGCUGGCGGCGUGCUUAACACAUGCAAGUCGUACGAGAAAUCCUUGGCUUGCCAGGGAGAGUAAAGUGGCGAACGGGUGAGUAACGCGUGGGUAACCUGCCCUAUGGAAAGGAAUAGCCUCGGGAAACUGGGAGUAAUGCCUUAUAAGAUAUAUUUGUCGCAUGGCAGAUGUAUUAAACGCUCCGGUGCCAUAGGAUGGACCCGCGUCCCAUUAGCUAGUUGGUGAGAUAACAGCCCACCAAGGCGACGAUGGGUAACCGGUCUGAGAGGGCGAACGGUCACACUGGAACUGAGACACGGUCCAGACUCCUACGGGAGGCAG